AAUUUAAUUCGCGAAAUGGGUAAUUAUUAUUUUUUGGCGUUCGUUGAGGGUCUUGGAUGAAAAAUCCUGAAAAAACAUGAAGAAGGUGUCCAGGGGAGCCCCAGGAGGUGACCUCACCCCUCAGUAAAUUUUUAUUUCACUUAUUUUUUCCUUUAUUCCUAUUAUCUCCAUGCAAUCAAUGAUAAUUUGUUGGCGGGCUGGGGAGUCUUUUGUUUUCCACGCGCAAUUGCUCCGCGCAUCUUGGCGACGCCAUGUUGAGAUCAGAGGGGGGACGCAUAAAUUUUUCUACGCCGCACCGUGCGGAUGCGUCUCGCGAGUUUCCGAAGUAAAUUCAUAUCACAACGGAGUAAAAUCAUCGCCGUGAUCUCCAGGAGGUGACCCACGACCUCGCUAAAUAUUAGUUUUGUCAAUUUAAUUCGCGAAAUGGGUAAUUAUUAUUUUUUGGCGUUCGUUGAUGCUCUUGGGUGGAAAAUCCUGAAAAAACAUGAAGAAGGUGUCCAGGGGAGCCCCAGGAGGUGACCUCACCUCUCAGUAAAUUUUAUUUCAUUUAUUUCUUCUUUUAUUCCAAUUAUUUCCAUGCAAUCAAUGAUAAUUUGUUGGCGGGCUGGGGAGUCCUUUGUUUUCCACGCGCAAUUGCUCCGCGCAUCUUGGCGACGCCAUGUUGAAAUCAGAGGGGGGACGCAUAAAUUUUUCUACGCCGUACCGUGCGGAUGCGUCUCGCGAGUUUCGGAAGUAAAUUCAUAUCACAACGGAGUAAAAUCGUCGCCGUGAUCCCCAGGAGGUAACCCACCACCUCGUUAAAUAUUAGUUUUGUCAAUUUAAUUCGCGAAAUGGGUAAUUAUUAUUUUUUUGGCGUUCGUUGAUGGUCUUGGAUGGAAAAUUCAGAAAAAAAUAUGAAAAAGGUGUCCAGGGGAGCCCCAGGGGAGGUGACCUCACCCCUCAGCCUCAGUAAUCUUUCAUUUCAUUUAUUUCUGUUUUUGUUUCUAUUAUUUGUAUGAAAUUGAUGAUAAUUUUCUGUUGAGAUGAAAAAUCCUUUGUUUUCAAUGCGCAACUCCUCCGCGCUGUUUGGCGACGCCAUUUUGAAUUUAGUGUGGGAGGGCAGAAAUUGUUCAUCCCAGGCAUUUUUAUUUUGUUCAGAGGGUAAAUUAAUUUCAAAACGGGAUAAAAUCGUUGGCCUGAUCACCAGGAGGCGAUCCGCAAUCUCACUAGAUAUUUAUUUCAGCUUUUUCCUCUUUUAUGAACCUAGUUAACUGUUUUUUUCCUCUUACGAAUUUCUUUGUCGAGGGUCACUUAUCGACAGAUCCACUUUUUUGGCACCAGGGGCUCCCCAGGAGUAUGUGUCACCUCCUGACCGACGGUCUUACCUGCAGAAGGUGCUCUGGGAGGAGGGAAACUAAUUACUAAUAGAAAUUAAAUGUAAUUAUUAGGUCAGGAAAGGUUAUAAUUGGGUUUGAAGCAGUUUUAUGGUUUUUUUUUCUUCUGAGGACUUGGGGUGAGGGUGAAAUUUUGAUUUUAGAGUCAGUGGUCCCCGGGGACGAUUUUGGUGCGGGUAAUCGCGGAUUUUCUAGUGUACCGACCAUAAACAAAUCGGGAAGUGAUCUUGAAAACUUUUUGAAUGUUUAAGACAGUAAUUUUUAGUUUUUUUGAGUUUUUUUUCCGUAAUCGAGUGUUGUGUUGUGUUGUGUUCUGUUCUGCUGGCGACCUGUUGAGGAAUUAUUUGGUGGUGGUAAUCUCGGUGCUGCUGGUGUCGCUGUAUCACUCUCCGUCUCUCUCGUUGGACCAUGACGAUCAUAAUGAUGCUGGAUACUUUCACUAUUCCAAACUGCGGGGAUACCCCGAAAAGCAAGUUGGUGAAGGGCUUGAGAGUCAACCGCUAAUUGGCCAAAGACGAGUUCACGUAUAUGACGUGGAGGGAUUACAUGUACGAGUUUUGAGGGCCAAGAGAGAUAGACGGAGUGAGCUUUGUAGGACACAGCGCGUAUAACGAUGAAAAUCGCACGAGAGAGUUCCACCCACAUCAAAGAUAUCCCGCUUCAGCAGGUAUACAACGUUCGAUGGUGAAGGAAUGGCGGUGAUGGCGAGUGCUCCGAGUCGACGUUAAUGAUGCAGAUGCAGGAACAGGAGAAUAUCGUUGGAGUUGGCGAUGGAACCCAAGUCUCUGGCUUGUGAAAUGCAGGGAAUCGCCAACUUCAGCGGAGUCUUCAGAAUGCUAUCAAUUCAGGAUCAUCCAGAAGAUUGGGAUUGUACUGGAGAGUCUGCUCGUCCCACUCAAUAACUAGAUACCAUGAAAUAA